rnacentral:rRNA from 1 species
AGCUAGCAAAAGCCAAUCAACCCUUUCGUACUAAAAAGGCCUUAAAAAUAAUUAGAGAUAAAAUCCAAUCUGGCUUAAACCGAUUUGAACUCAAAUCAUGUAAAAAUUUAAAGGUUGAACAAACCCUCUAUUGUACCUUCUGCUUCACGUAGAUAUUUUAAUUCAACAUCGAGGUUGCAAACACAUUCAUCGAUAAGGUCUCUCCAAAAAUAUUGCACUGUUACCCCUAAAGUAACUUUUACAUACUUUCCAUAUUUUUAGGAUCUUGUGUAAACUGAUGGUUAAUUCACCAAUACCGCCCCAGUAAAAUAAACUAAUUUGAAAAACAAAGUCACCCUAUAUUUAUAAAGCUUAUAGGGUCUUAUCGUCCCCUAAAACAUCAAAGAAUUCUUACCCUGACUUUAAUUUUAUAUAUAAAUAAACACACUUAUUAAGCUAGCUCAACCGUUCAUUCCAGUUUCCAAUUAAAAAACAAAUGAUUAUGCUACCUUAGCACAGUCAAAAUACCGCAGCCGUUUAAUCCUCACUGGGCAGGCCAUAUUUUAUUUUAACUUAAAAAAAUGUUUUUGCUAAACAAUCUAACUUAACUUGAGUUAAUUUUUAUUUUAACUCUAAAUUCAAUAAACUCAUUAUCAACUUAAACCAACUAUACUUUAAUUAACCUUUAAAUUCUACUGUAAUCCUUUAACAUUUAAGAUUAUUUAAAACAAUUCAAUAACCAAGCUAAUUUAAAGCCUCGUUUUCUUUACUCAAAUAAACUAUACAUAGAUUGAAAAAAGCUUAACCUUUUUUCAAUAAAGUAAAUAGAUACCAAACAUACCGUACAUUUGUCACCCCAUAAAAAAUUACAAUUGUAAAUUUAACUACUAUCUAAAUAAAAAGUUCUAUGUUACUCGAUUAAUAAUUACAUAAUUAUUUUGUGCUCCCCUGAUACAAAAGGUAAGGCACACAAACCUUCUUUAUCUUUAUAAAUAUCUAUCGA